AUUGAACGCUGGCGGCGUGCUUAACACAUGCAAGUCGUACGUGAUCCGGAGCUUGCUCCGGUGAAAGUGGCGCACGGGUGAGUAACGCGUGGAUAACCUGCCCUGGUAUCUGGGAUAACAUCUCGAAAGGGGUGCUAAUACCGGAUAAGCCCACGGGACCUUCGGGUUCUGAGGGAAAAGGUGGCCUCUGUUUCAUGCUACCGUAUCAGGAUGGGGCCGCGUACCAUUAGCUAGUUGGUAGGGUAAUGGCCUACCAAGGCGACGAUGGUUAGCUGGUCUGAGAGGAUGAUCAGCCACACUGGAACUGAGACACGGUCCAGACUCCUACGGGAGGCAGCAGUGGGGAAUUUUGCGCAAUGGGGGAAACCCUGACGCAGCAACGCCGCGUGAGUGAUGAAGGCCUUCGGGUCGUAAAGCUCUGUCAGAGGGGAAGAAAUGAUGAGGUGCUAAUACCAUCUCUUCUUGACGGUACCCUCAAAGGAAGCACCGGCUAACUCCGUGCCAGCCGCCGCCGUAA
rnacentral:rRNA from 1 species